GAAGCUGGCCAGGCAACCGCCGGGCGCGCAAGCGCCGGGAGGAAAGUCCGGGCUCCGCAGAGCAGGAUGCCGGCUAACGACCGGGCGCUAUAAGGCGCAAGCCCCAAGGCGACGGAAAGUGCAACAGAGAAUAGACCGCCGAUGGCCGCAAGGCACAGGCAAGGGUGAAACGGCGAGGUAAGAGCUCACCGCGGACGUGGUAACACGGACGGCACGGCAAACCCCAUCUGGAGCAAGGCCAAAUAGGGAAGCGUACGGCGUGGCUCGCGCUGCUUCCGGGUAGGCUGCUUGAGCGGCGCGGCAACGCGUCGCCUAGAGGAAUGGUUGCCCACGACAGAACCCGGCUUAUCGGCCAGCUUCACUC
rnacentral:RNase_P_RNA from 1 species